rnacentral:other from 2 species
CAAGUCCUGAUGUGUUCGUCGUAUAACCUAUUGUUUUGACCGAACAAUAGAUUAUACGGGAGCUCGGAGUUUUCAAAAGCUGCGUACAUGCCUACCUACGAGUAGGACGUACAAAUGCUUGAAACAGAGCACCCACCUGCUUGUAGCGGGUUCAAAACGAAGGCAUCGACGACGGCACUAUUGGGACUUGC